UACGGAGGGUGCAAGCGUUAAUCGGAAUUACUGGGCGUAAAGCGCGUGUAGGCGGCCCUGCAAGUCGGAUGUGAAAUCCCACGGCUCAACCGUGGAAGUGCAUUCGAAACUGCAGGGCUAGAGUCCUGGAGAGGAAGGUGGAAUGCUUGGUGUAGAGGUGAAAUUCGUAGAUAUCAAGCGGAACACCGGUGGCGAAGGCGGCCUGCUGGACAGAGACUGACGCUGAGACGCGAAAGCGUGGGGAGCAAACAGG
rnacentral:rRNA from 1 species